rnacentral:rRNA from 1 species
UGUGAACUCGAAGAGUAGGGCGGGACACGUGGUAUCCUGUCUGAAUAUGGGGGGACCAUCCUCCAAGGCUAAAUACUCCUGACUGACCGAUAGUGAACCAGUACCGUGAGGGAAAGGCGAAAAGAACCCCGGCGAGGGGAGUGAAAAAGAACCUGAAACCGUGUACGUACAAGCAGUGGGAGCACCUUCGGGUGUGACUGCGUACCUUUUGUAUAAUGGGUCAGCGACUUAUAUUCUGUAGCAAGGUUAACCGUAUAGGGGAGCCGCAGGGAAACCGAGUCUUAACUGGGCGUUAAGUUGCAGGGUAUAGACCCGAAACCCGGUGAUCUAGCCAUGGGCAGGUUGAAGGUUGGGUAACACUAACUGGAGGACCGAACCGACUAAUGUUGAAAAAUUAGCGGAUGACUUGUGGCUGGGGGUGAAAGGCCAAUCAAACCGGGAGAUAGCUGGUUCUCCCCGAAAGCUAUUUAGGUAGCGCCUCGUGAACUCAUCUUCGGGGGUAGAGCACUGUUUCGGCUAGGGGGUCAUCCCGACUUACCAACCCGAUGCAAACUACGAAUACCGAAGAAUGUUAUCACGGGAGACACACGGCGGGUGCUAACGUCCGUCGUGAAGAGGGAAACAACCCAGACCGCCAGCUAAGGUCCCAAAGUCAUGGUUAAGUGGGAAACGAUGUGGGAAGGCACAGACAGCCAGGAUGUUGGCUUAGAAGCAGCCAUCAUUUAAAGAAAGCGUAAUAGCUCACUGGUCGAGUCGGCCUGCGCGGAAGAUGUAACGGGGCUAAACCAUGCACCGAAGCUGCGGCAGCGACACUAUGUGUUGUUGGGUAGGGGAGCGUUCUGUAAGCCUGCGAAGGUGGCCUGUGAGGGCUGCUGGAGGUAUCAGAAGUGCGAAUGCUGACAUAAGUAACGAU